rnacentral:rRNA from 1 species
UUACCCCUACGGGACGCAGCAGUAGGGAAUCUUCCACAAUGGGCGAAAGCCUGAUGGAGCAACGCCGCGUGGGUGAAGAAGGUCUUCGGAUCGUAAAACCCUGUUGUUAGAGAAGAAAGUGCGUGAGAGUAACUGUUCACGUUUCGACGGUAUCUAACCAGAAAGCCACGGCUAACUACGUGCCAGCAGCCGCGGUAAUACAUAGGUGGCAAGCGUUAUCCGGAUUUAUUGGGCGUAA